GAUGAACGCUAGCUACAGGCUUAACACAUGCAAGUCGAGGGGAAGCGACAUCGAAAGCUUGCUUUUGAUGGGCGUCGACCGGCGCACGGGUGAGUAACGCGUAUCCAACCUGCCCAUCACUUGGGAAUAACCUUGCGAAAGUAAGACUAAUACCCAAUGACAUCCCACGAAGACAUCUGAAUGGGAUUAAAGAUUUAUCGGUGAUGGAUGGGGAUGCGUCUGAUUAGCUUGUUGGCGGGGUAACGGCCCACCAAGGCAACGAUCAGUGGGGGUUCUGAGAGGAAGGUCCCCCACAUUGGAACUGAGACACGGUCCAAACUCCUACGGGAGGCAGCAGUGAGGAAUAUUGGUCAAUGGGCGAGAGCCUGAACCAGCCAAGUAGCGUGCAGGAUGACGGCCCUAUGGGUUGUAAACUGCUUUUAUAAGGGAAUAAAGUGGGUCUCGUGAGACUUUUUGCAUGUACCUUAUGAAUAAGGACCGGCUAAUUCCGUG
rnacentral:rRNA from 1 species